rnacentral:misc_RNA from 1 species
UUUCCGUAGGUGAACCUGCGGAAGGAUCAUUAAGGAGAAUAUGCCCUUCGGGGUAGAUCUCCCACCCUUUGUUUAUAUUACCUUUGUUGCUUUGGCAGGCCCGUCUUCGGACCACCGGCUUCGGCUGGUCAGUGCUUGCCAGAGGACCCAAAACUCUUAUUAUUAAUGUCGUCUGAGUACUAUAUAAUAGUUAAAACUUUCAACAACGGAUCUCUUGGUUCUGACAUCGAUGAAGAACGCAGC